ACGAAAGUUCCAUUCUUCCUUGCAUUCGAUAGUCUUACAAAUAUGUCGUAUGGAAUGUAAAGAAGUAUGGAGCGAUUCG
rnacentral:pre_miRNA from 1 species